GACGAACGCUGGCGGCGUGCUUAACACAUGCAAGUCGAACGGAAAGGCCCUGCUUUUGUGGGGUGCUCGAGUGGCGAACGGGUGAGUAACACGUGAGUAACCUGCCCUUGACUUUGGGAUAACUUCAGGAAACUGGGGCUAAUACCGGAUAGGAGCUCCUGCUGCAUGGUGGGGGUUGGAAAGUUUCGGCGGUUGGGGAUGGACUCGCGGCUUAUCAGCUUGUUGGUGGGGUAGUGGCUUACCAAGGCUUUGACGGGUAGCCGGCCUGAGAGGGUGACCGGCCACAUUGGGACUGAGAUACGGACCAGACUCCUACGGGAGGCAGCAGUGGGGAAUAUUGCACAAUGGGCGGAAGCCUGAUGCAGCAACGCCGCGUGCGGGAUGACGGCCUCCGGGUUGUAAACCGCUUUCGCCUGUGACGAAGCGUGAGUGACGGUAAUGGGUAAAGAAGCACCGGCUAACUACGUG
rnacentral:rRNA from 1 species